rnacentral:lncRNA from 1 species
CCAAAUCGGUGUGUGAUGCUGAAAAUGUAAAAAGUCAUUUUGAACUGAAGAUGGGGGCAUGUGUUUCAGAUGAUUUUUCCUUGAAACAAGUGAUACAAAAAAUUAUUAAAUCUGCAACUGGGGAAAGAUGUGCGGAUUUGAAUGAGGGUGAGCUUAAUAAAAAACUUGAAGAUAUUAUGAAGGGUAAGAAAUACCUGCUUCUUUUGGAUGAUGUAUGGAAUGAAGAUGCUCAAAAAUGGUUGUUGUUGAAGCCUUUGUUAUCAAAAGGUGCUGAUGGAAGUAAGAUUAUAGUGACUACCCGUAGUCAACGUGUUGCUGAGAUUAUGGGUACUGUUGCUGCGUACAACCUAAGUCUUCUCGGUCAAGAGGACUGUCUGUCGUUGUUUUACAAGUGUGCAUUCAAGGAAGGGAAAAUGGAGUUGAAUCCAAAUUUGGUUGGAAUUCGGAAAGAAAUAGUGGAGAAAUGCAAGCAAGUUUCUCUGGCAGUGAUUAAUUAACUUGGGGACUCAACUGUAUGGUAGGACUGAUGAAAAAGAGUGGGAAUCGGUGAGAGAUAGUGAGAAGUGGGAAGAAGAGGGAGAUGGCAUUUUACCUGCCUUGAAAAUAAGUUAUCAAAGACUGCCGACACACCUGAAAAGAUGCUUUCUUUAUUGCUCCGUUUUCCCAAAAGAUUACCCAUUCUUUGAUAUCUCAUUGGUGCAUUUUUGGAUGGCACAGGGCUCAUUCUCCCAUCAUCAAAUCCAAAUGAGAAAUUGGAAGAUGUUGGCUUGCGUUAUGUGCGCCAGUUGAUCUCAAGAUGUUUCUUCCAAGAUUAUGAGGAUAUGAUUGUUGGAGCUAACUUUAAGAUGCAUGAUUUAAUGCAUGAUCUUGCAUCAUCAUUGGCUCAAAAUGAGUUUUCAAUCAUAAGCUCUUAAAACCAUUAAAUUUCCAAAACGACCCGUCAUUUGUCAGUUCUUGUCUCUGAUUUAUUUUUUCAUAAAACUCUUCCCAACUUCCAUCAAGUGCGGUCAAUAAUUUAAAUUUAUUUGAACUUAAAACAUCAUUAUUAAAUUUUAUAUUUGUCUAAUUUUAUCUUUAGGUUUAAUGUGAGGAUCCUUCGGCUAAGAUCUUUUACAACAGUUUAUCACUUACGAAAAUCAGCUUAAUGCUCGGAGUGUCUGCUGUGUGUGAUGAUUUGUCAUUGAUAAAUUGAUAAACAUUUGGUUUUUUUAAAUUAUUGGCUUGCCUCUUUAUCUUAUUUAAAAUAUUGUGUGUGAUGAUUUAAAUAAUUAUGCUUAACAAAUAAAAUAUUGCGUGUCAUAUAAUUCUACUUGUUUUGUCCAUGGCCCAAACACUACUAGGCUCAUGUCUUAUUUAAAGUUUAUAAUUUUUUUUAUUUUUUUGGGUUGCGGUAUAACUUAUUUUUUAUUAAAUUUUAAUUUUUUUAAAAUUUUAAUAUAUUUAUGCAAAAAUAUCUAACACACUCCAAAACCAUUCCUUAAUCCCAUUUUUACAAACACUACUGGGCUAAUGACUUAUUAAAAGUUUAUAAUUUUUUAGAUUUUUUUCUUUUUCUGUUAAACCCAUUUUUCAUCCAUUUUAAAAAUUUCUCCAGUACACACCUUCCUUCGCUAUUCUUGCGCAAUCUCCACCGUCGGUAAAAACCUCCCCUCUCUCUUUCUCUAAGCUAAUUACUUAACCAUGUUUUAAUCAUUUUCACUUUUGCUGACAGAUUGCAUGAACCGUCGCGGAUUAAAAAUUCUCUCUCAGAACCCAUCAGUAAACUCUGAUUCUAACUAUCAGAAAUCACUCGAAGUAAAUGAAGUUACUUUUAUUAUUAUUAUUUUUAAUUUAUGUGUUAAUUUGUGAUUUAGUGAAUAAGUUAAAGUUUUGAUUUUGAGUGAAUUUAAUUAAUUAAAUCGGCAAAGAGGGUAUUGAAAUCAUGUAGAAAAUGAAGGAUUUUAUGUGAAAGCUAGGCAAUUUUUUUUUAUUUGCUUGUGCACGUUUGUGUAUUUUCAAUUUUGAAGAAUUUAUGUCUGUUUCGUAGGCUAAUUUUUUGGAUUAGGUAUAAUGUAGGCAGUUCCUAGUAGUUUCAACGAUGUAAAAUAAGUUCUUGAAAUUAAGCAAUUUGGGUUGAUGUUUAACGGAGAUUUGUGUUUCGGUUCUGUAUUUUCUUUGUUUUUCUUUUCUUAGAUGUUGAAGGUGAAAAUGUUUUGUUGAAUUAUGGAAUUUUUUUUUAUGUAAAUGACAGCUGCUUCGUCAAUUGCCCAGCUGAUGUUUAACGGGCAUCUUGCAAUGUUGAGAGAUUGUCAAGCAGUAGCAGUCAAGGUUGGUUGGUGCGGUGUCAGUCUAAGUUAGUCAACUUAUUAUUAUGGGCUGGGUUUUGUUAUAGCAACAAGAUGAUAUUUGUGAAUAAAUUAGGAAGUUUAAGAGUGUUUUGAACUGUUGAUGAUGCAAUGCAUUUAGGCUAUCGAUCCUUUCAUAACUUGUUUCAAAUUUUAUGUAUCUAUGUUGUUGAAUCUUUGCUUACCUUCCAAUAUUAUAGCUGCAUGUGACUGAAUGCCGGGAUUCUUCCUCUAUCUUUCCUGUAUCUGUUUUUAUUUCGCUUCGGAAAAGUAAACUUUUUGCCAUACAGUUUUAUAUUAGAUAUGAUAUUUCAGUGAUUUGAUUCUUUCAAUAAAGUCGACGAUUGCAUUAGGAGAAUCUCUGUGAUAUUCUCUGAUGAAUGUGAAACAUCCCCUUUCCAUACCUUCUUUAUAUAUGUUAGAAAAUUUUCUAGUUUUUAGAAACUUCAUGGAUGCUUGUGCUAGAUGACUUGAUAUAUUUCUGUUUCUUAUAUUUCUAUGUACAUAUUAUUAAAAUAAUUCUCAAAUUAAUCUCCCAUUGAAGUUAACCUAACUCUAAUUACAUCUUCAUUCUUCGGACAAUUAACGGAACUUAUCCUUGCAAACCAAGAGAGAAGGGAGGACUCAAGUUUGAUGGAUUCAUAAUGCCAAAGUAAACUUAGAACUCAACAUUUUGUCAUAAAAAUAGGGUUUUAGAUCUCUGUUAUAUUUAUCUACUCUACCUGAGGCAAGCAACACUCUUGCAAAUCGCUCUCCUCCUUGAACCUAUUGAACUCAGUUCUUUGAAAGCUUAUGCAGACAAUUGCUUCCUCCAGUAACCUUUUCUCAUUUUUUUCUGAUUUGUCAUUCUUAAAUCAAAUGUUCUUCUUGAAAUUUUCAGUCAUUGAGUUAGCCUUGUCUAUAAUGCAAAACUAAACAUGCAUGCUGUUUUUGCUACUGAGAGUUUAAAAACAUAAUUAAAUCUGUAUCUAAUCAGGUUGUGAUUGAAUGCCAACUGAAGUUUGAUUUUGUCCAUGAUUUUAUUCCUCUCCCCGACACAAUUAAAAUGAUAGGGUUAGGGUUAGGGUGCAGCUAUGCACAAAGCAUCAAUCCUCGUUUCGUUUCAACUUUCCAUUAUAUUUUCUAAUUUGCUCAAAAUCAAUCAUACUCCUCAAAUGGUUCCUCCCAUCUGCACAUUUCAUUUCUAUGACCAUAUAUGAUACAUUCAUUCCCUCAAUCUUUUCUUCGUGUUUUCACAAUAACCAAAAAUUAAUUAACAAUACAUCAUCACUAUAUGAUCUUCAGAAGGACAUGAUCAUCUCAGAUUCUGAGAGAGAGAUCACUUGCUUUUCUACAAAGGUUGUUUAUGCUAUUGUGCUUACUGCUUAGGAAGUUCCAAGUAAGGGAUAGAUUCUCAGGAAGAUUGUUUCCAAAGUAAGAGACAAAUGAAAGAAUAAGGGAAUGUCAUGAACAAAAAUUGCAGGCGUUUGUUUCGCCUUUACAUGCAUACUCAUAGCUAGAAAUCAAGAGGUUAAUUUGCCAUUCUGCAAACAUAACUUCACUUGCAUCUUAAUCAUUUUUCCUAUCAACCAAUUCUCCUCUCUCCACUCAAAAAGAAAAUGUCAGGAGCUUUAGCAUCCAGCAUUGCACAAUCCCUUCUAGGGAAGCUAGGCUCAUUUGCUGGUCAAGAAUUUUGUUUGGCAUGGGGACUUGAAGCUGACAUUGCUCGUCUUGAAAAGAGAUUGUCAGCCAUCACCGCAGUGCUGUCCGAUGCUGAGCAGAAACAAUCAAAGAAUGACAAGAUUCGGUUCUGGCUCAACGAUCUCAGAGAAGUCUUGUAUGAUGCCGAGGACGUGCUGGAUGAAAUCGAGUGCGAAACUUUGCGAAGGCAGGUGGUGAAAACAACAGGGAGCACCAGCAGAAAGGUACGGCGCUUCUUUUCAAGCUCUAAUAAGAUUGCAUUCCGUUUAAGAAUGGGUCAUAAGAUAAAGAGCAUCACAGAAAGACUAGCUACGAUUUCAGCUCUUAAGUCUGAGUUCAACCUCAGCGAGCAGCCUAUUGAUUGUGGUCAUGUUUUGCAAGAGGAAACAGAGAUGAACCGAUCCUUUGAGAGCUUUUCCGGUCUUAUCGGAAGAGAUGAAGACAAAGAAUGCCUCAUUAACCUUUUAGCAGAACCUUUUAAGGUAGGUGAUGCACAUCCUUAUGUCCUUCCGAUAGUAGGAAUGGGAGGCUUGGGGAAGACAUCUCUUGCCAAAUCGGUGUAUGAUGCUGAAAAUGUAAAAAGUCAUUUUGAUCUGAAGAUGGAGGUGUGUGUUUCAGAUGAUUUUUCCUUGAAACAAGUGAUACAAAAGAUUAUUAAAUCUGCAACUGGGGAAGGAUGUGUGGAUUCGGAUGAGCGUGAACUUAAAAAAAAACUUGGAGCGAUUCUGAAUGGUAGGAAAUACUUGCUUCUUUUGGAUGAUGUUUGGAAUGAAGAUGCUCAAAAAUGGAUGUUGUUGAAGCCUUUGUUAUCGAAAGGUGCUGCUGGAAGCAAGAUUAUAGUAACUACCCGUAGUCAACGUGUUGCUGAGAUUAUGGGUACUGUUACUGCAUACAACCCAAGUCUUCUAGGUCAAGAGGACUGUCUGUCGUUGUUUUGCAAGUGUGCAUUCAAGGAAGGGGAAAAGGAGUUGUAUCCAAAUUUGGUUGGAAUUGGGAAAGAAAUAUUGGCAAAAUGCAAGCAAGUUCCUUUGGCAGUGAUUAACUUGGGGACUCAACUGUAUGGUAAAACUGAUGAAACAGAGUGGAAAUCGGUGAGAGAUAGUGGGAAGUGGGAAGAAGAGGGAGAUGGCAUUUUACCUGCCUUGAAAAUAAGCUAUCAAAGACUGCCGACUCCCUUGAAAAGAUGCUUUCUUUAUUGUUCGGUUUUUCCAAAAGAUCACCCGUUCCUAGAUAUCUUAUUGGUGCAAUUUUGGAUGGCACAUGGGCUCAUUCUUCAAUCAUCAAAUCCAAAUGAGAACUUGGAAGAUGUUGGCUUGCGUUAUGUGCGCGAGUUGAUCUCAAGAUGUUUCUUCCAAGAUUAUGAGGAUAAGAUGUUUGGAGCUACCUUUAAGAUGCAUGAUUUAAUGCAUGAUCUUGCAUCAUCAUUGGCUCAAAAUGAGUUUUCAAUCAUAAGCUCUCAAAACCACCAAAUUUCCAAAACGACCCGUCAUUUAUCAGUUCUUGACUCUGAUUCAUUUUUUCAUAAAACUCUCCCCAAGUUUCCAAACAACUUCCAUCAAGUGCGGUCACUAGUCUUUGCAGAUAGUAUAGUGGGGCCUACAUGCAAAACAGACUUUGAGAAAUGUUUGUUAGAAUUUAAGCAUUUGCGGUCUUUGGAAUUAAUGGAUGAUUUUGAAUUUGAGACUUUUCCGGAGAGGAUUGGCGCCUUGAAACAUUUGAGAUAUCUCGGUUUUGGCUGGAACACAGAAAUGGAAAGACUCCCAAAAUCUCUUUUCAAAUUACAAAAUUUGCAAGCUCUGGUUACACCAGGUGAAGGAUUAGAAGAGCUGCCCAAAGAUGUAAGGUACUUGAUCAGCCUUAGGUUUUUACUUCUAGUUACUAAGCAGAAGCGGUUGCCAGAAGGUGGGAUUGGGUGCUUGAAAUUUCUUCGAACUUUACUCAUUGUUCGGUGUGAAAAUCUUGAAAAUUUGUGCGAAGAUAUGCAAGGUCUUAGAAGUCUUCGGAAAUUGGUUAUUUAUGAAUGUAAUAGCUUGAUUUCUCUGCCACUAAGCAUAAAAUGCCUAACUACUCUAGAAGAAUUUUGUAUUAAUGGCUGUGAAAAGCUUGAUUUGAUGACAAUAGAAGAAAAGGAGGAAAAAGUUCAACCUCUUUCUCUUUCUCUUCGUAUUGUAAUAUUUGAAGAGUUACCAACAACUUUUGCUUUACCAGAACAACUUCUUCAAGGAUCUGCAGAAUCCUUACAAACAUUCAUCAUCAUAGAGUGUUCAAACAUUAGAGAAAUGCCAGAUUGCAUCGGCAAUUUAAAGAAACUUCAAAAUCUUGAGAUCAGUGAUUGUCCAAGUUUGAGCAAAAGGUGCCGAAGGGGAACAGGAGAAGAUUGGCCCAAGAUCAAACAUAUCCCUAAAAUCGAGGUUGACAGUGAUGACAGUGAUGAGGAGAAUACAGGUAGCAGCAGCAAACCAUAUUUAAAUCUAUCAUAUUUAGUUUUACAUUUUUAUCCAUUCUUCAAAUAUUCCUUUUUUCGUUUAAAUUAUUUUCCCUGAAAACAAUAUUAGCUUUGAAAAAAAAAAACUGACAAAACCUCUUGUGUUUUGGAGAGGCAGGUUCAAGUGGAACUCCAUCAGCAAGAGAAGAAGACAAGGUAUGUCAUGAUAAAAUGCAAAAAGUUGACUAAUUCAUUCAGCAAUUUAAAUUUCUUUGAACUUAAUACAUCAUUUUUAAAUUCUAUGUUUGUCUAAUUUUUUUCAGCUUUCAUUGGGGUUUCUGCUGACGGUUAUAAUACGGGGACUUCAAUUUUUUCGGUGUUGUUGCUGACAAUCUAGUUUGUUCAAAUAAAGAUGAAGAGUGUUUAAUUUGCUGGAGAUUAAUAUUCGUUCUCUGUGUGCUUUGCUCGUAGUUCCUGCUGGUGAUGUACUUGGCUUUUCAUUUGUUCAUAAUGGUUGCCAAUCAGUUCAUUUGCUGGUCAUGGAAUUUGCUCCCUCGUUGUUGAACUUAAUACAUCGUUGCUGGUGAUGUGAGGGUCCUGUCGGCCAAGAUCUUCUAUGACAGUUAGUCUCUUGGUUAUUGGAGGAUGUGAUAGCUUGAUUUCUUUGCCACGAAGCAUAAAAUACCUAACUACUUUGGAAGAAUUUUAUAUUAUUGAUUGUGAAAAGCUUGAUUUGAUGAUAAUAAAAGAAAAAAAUCAACCUCCUUCCCUUCCUCUUCGUAUUGUAAUAUUUAGAAACUUACUAGCCACUCUUGCCAUACCAGAACAGCUUCUUCGAGGAUCUACAGAAUCCUUACAAACAUUUAUCAUUACGGACUGUCCAAACAUUGAAAAAAUGCCAGAGUGCAUCGGCAAUUUAAAGAAACUUCAAAAACUUGAGAUCACUCGUUGUCCAAGGUUGAGCAAAAGGUGCCAAGAGGGAAAAGGAGAAGAUUGGCAUAAGAUCAAACAUAUCUCUAAAAUCGUGUUAAAGGAAAGAUGAUUAUACGAUGUAAUUGAGAGUGAUCAUAGCUUCUAUAAUUGUCAAUCCUUUUAUUCUGUGUAAUUAUAGUAUGUAACCGUUAUUAGCUUAGCUGUAGGAUCUGCUGUUAAUAUCAGCUUGUUUAUAGGAAUUGCUUUCCUAUAAUAGCAUGUAGGUUCUGUAUAAAUCCUCACCUUGUAUACUGUUACAACACAUCAAUGAAAUAUACAUAUUCUCAAUUUAUUAUGGUAUCAGAGCACCGAUCUUGGUGACUCCUCCACCCUUCCGCAACCAUAUACACCAUAGAUAUUUCACAAACACCAUGACAGAACAGAGCAAUAACACCAAACCAGAUGGGAAUCCCGUGGAAAUCACAGACCCAUAUGCCAUACACAGUUCAGAUCAUACUGGACUCAUCCUGGCAACCAAACCACUUGAUGGAGAUAACUAUGGGCAAUGGAGCCGUGCCAUGUACAUGGGUCUCAGCGCAAGAAACAAGAUUGGAUUCAUUGAUGGGACCAUUAAAGCACCACCAAUACAGGAUCCGAAAUAUGCAGGCUGGAAAAGAUGCAACGAUAUGGUGACACUGUGGAUCAUAAACUCAGUUCACUCAGACAUUGCGAGCAGCAUUAUGUACACUGAAUCUGCUGAUGCAGUUUGGAACGACCUCAAGGAGAGAUUCUCACAAAGCAGCGACUCAAGGAUCUACCAGAUUCGACAAGAGAUUGUUGAAAAUCGUCAAGGGCAGCUCUCGGUGUCUUCUUAUUAUACCAAGAUGAAAGCCUUGUGGGACGAAUUAGCAUCAUACCAUGACCCACUCAUCUGCACUUGCGCAGGUUUAAAGGGACUGGCUGAAAGAGAUGAAAAGGAAAGAGUCAUGCAGUUCUUGAUGGGAUUAAAUGAAUCCUACUCAGCAAUACGAGGCUCGAUUCUGAUGAUGAGCCCACUCCCUGAUACACGGCGAGUCCAUGGUCUCAUUCUUCAACAUGAGAGGCAGAUGGACGUUGCCAACCGUCGAGACAUGGGAACGACACCACAUGCAAUGCAGGUACAACGAAAUCCAAUGCCACCAUCAUUCAACAGGAAGCCCUUCUACACACCAUCACGAAAACCACUUAAAUGUACCCACUGUGACGGAGAGGGACACUUAGUGGACCGAUGCUACUAUAUUAUUGGGUUCCCAGAAGGGCACAAAUGGCAUGGCAAACACGUGAAACCCAAGAAUAAGAGAUUCACAAUCAACAAUGUCAAGGCUAGCAGUUCUGCUGCAACCGAGAAACCUCACAUUUCUGAAGGUCCCAUGUUCACUACAGAGGAGUAUAAUCAAAUCAUUGCUAUGCUACGUAAUGGUAAUACACAAUCAAUUGAAAAUGCAACAGGUAUUUUUUCGCCCACAUGCAAUAUAGCACAAACAAGCCCGCAUUCAACUCUAUACUGGAUAGUUGACAGCGGAGCAACCGACCACAUAUCACACUCUCCACCAACACAUAACAUCCUUGAUGUUCAGUGUGACUCUGUUGGUUUGCCCGAUGGGGGGCAAGCAAAAAUAAAGAAUAUUGGCUCUAUAAAAUUAUCACAUGAACUAUCCCUUGAUAAAGUUCUUUAUGUACCAAAGUUUCGUGUCAAUUUAUUAUCCGUUAGCAAAUUGACAAGAGCUUUGCGAUGUAUAGUGAUAUUUUAUCCGAAUUUUUGUAUUGUGCAGGACAUGGAUACGAGGAGGACGAUUGGCCUGGGCAAGCAUUUUGAUGGGCUCUACUAUCUCACCCCAAAACAUAAUCCUCACCUCGCUAAUCAUAUCCACCGUACCUCUAGUCUUUGGCAUCAGCGUCUUGGACACCCAUCAGCCGCACCUUUACUUUCAUUAGCCAAACAUAAUGUUGAAAUAAUGUUUGAUUCAAAACACGUUUGUGAAGUUUGCCCUUUGGCAAAACAAACUCGUUUACCCUUUUCUCAUAGUGAAAUCAAAUCUUCUGCACCAUUCGAUUUAAUUCAUUGUGAUAUAUGGGGCCCCCAUAGAAAUCCAACACACACUGGGGCACGAUAUUUUCUCACUAUUGUAGAUGAUUUCACUCGUUUUACUUGGGUACAUCUUAUGAGUUUCAAAUCUGACACACAAACAAUUUUAAAAUCUUUUUUUUCUUGGGUCAAAACACAAUUUCAACAUGACAUUAAAACUCUUCGUGCGGACAAUGGUGGUGAAUUCCUCUCCAUUCGUCCUUUCCUAGACUCAUGUGGUACCCUUUUCCAACACUCUUGUCCAUACACUCCACAACAGAACGGGGUAGUUGAACGUAAACAUAGACACCUUUUGAAUGUUAGCCGUGCCCUUAAGUUCCAAGCCAAUUUACCCUUGAAAUUUUGGGGAGAAAGCCUCCAAACAGCCUGCUAUCUUAUCAACCGCCUACCUUCACCCCUCCUAUCUCAUAAAUCCCCAUAUGAACUCUUGCACAACACACCUCCCACCUACACACACUUGCGUGUUUUCGGAUGUCUUAGCUAUGCCACCAACCUCACACCUACCAAUAAGUUUGACGAACGUGCUCAUCGAUGUAUCUUUCUUGGUUAUCCUCUUGGUCAGAAAGGCUACAAAGUCUAUGAUCUAGCCUCACACAAAUUUUUUACAUCACGAGAUGUCAUCUUCCAUGAGCACAUCUUCCCUUAUGCCUCUUUAGCACCCGUGAACCACACUGACAUGGCCAUUACUCCCAACUCCAAUGACCACAUCAAUACCCAUGAAAUACUCCCUGCUCCACCCCCACAAGACAUCACCGAACCUUCCUCACCGGACCCACCUCCAUCACUCAACCUUGAGCCCGUCACUGACCUUCCCACCACAAUUGACACAAACCCACCUGUCAUACACGAUUCUCCCACAAUACCUCCAUCCUCUGUACCGACCCAUUCCCCCCCAAUUUCCCUUCGCCACUCUACCCGUCAUACUCGGCCACCUGCUCACUUCAAGGAUUAUGUGGCUCAUCAUUCUGUCUUGCUUCCACCCACAUCAACCUCCCCACAAUCUAUGUCCAGCACUCGCCAUCCACUGCAUCGGUAUGUCUCCUAUUCUUGCUUAUCCCCUGGUUAUCGCCGUUUUGUUUCUAACAUCUCCCAAAUAGUGGAGCCUACUACAUAUGCACAGGCUUGCCAGAAUCCCAAAUGGGUUGCAGCGAUGCAGGCUGAACUCACAGCCUUAGAAGCCAACCACACUUGGAGCCUUGUUCCCCUUCCACCGGGACAACGUCCCAUUGGCUGCAAAUGGGUCUUCAAGCUUAAGUAUCAUUCUGAUGGGACUCUUGAACGCUACAAGGCGCGCCUCGUUGCAAAAGGGUUCACUCAACGUGAGGGAAUCGAUUACAAGGAGACAUUUGCGCCAGUGGCUAAACUCCUUACCGUGCGCUGCCUGUUGACUAUAGCAGCUGUCCGCCAUUGGUCGUUACACCAAAUGGACGUCCAAAACGCCUUUCUCCAUGGUGCCCUUCAGGAGGAGGUCUAUAUGAUGCCUCCACCAGGUUGUCAUCGACAGGGGGAUAACAUUGUGUGUCGACUCCAUAAGUCAUUGUAUGGGCUUAAACAGGCAUCCAGAAGUUGGUUUCAAGAGUUCUCCUCAGCAAUACAAACUAUCGGGUUCUGCCAAUCUAAAGCAGAUUACUCCUUAUUCACCCAAGUCAAAGGUACAUCACUCACUAUUAUAUUGCUUUAUGUUGACGACAUGGUAAUUACAGGUAACAAUGAGGCAGAAAUCAAGAACCUGAAAGUCUUCCUUAGCAGCAAAUUUCGAAUUAAAGACCUCGGACCUUUGAAAUAUUUCCUAGGAGUCGAGGUCGCCCGAUCGAAAGCUGGAAUUACAAUUUGCCAAAGAAAAUAUACAUUGGACAUAUUGGAGGAAGCUGGGUUACUAGGUGCUAAGCCAAUGAAGGUCCCAAUGGAGGCUGAUUUGGUGCUAACACCCACAGGUAGCAGUUCACUCCAUGAACCGGCGAAGUAUCGACGCUUAGUCGGGAAAUUGAUCUACUUGACAAUCACAAGACCAGAAAUAGCGUACACUGUCAAUACGCUAAGUCAAUUCAUGCAAGAUCCACAACGACACCAUCUUGAUGCAGCGUAUCGACUUCUCCGAUACCUUAAAGGAGCUUCGGGUCAAGGUUUGAUGUUUUCCUCACAAAAUAAUUUACAUUUAAUUGGUUACUGUGAUGCAGAUUGGGCUCGUUGCCCCACCACACGCCGAUCCGUGACUGGUUAUUGUAUUUUCCUUGGAAAUUCAUUGGUGUCAUGGAAGAGCAAGAAACAGGUUACAGUAUCUCGCUCAUCCGCAGAAGCGGAGUAUCGAUCCAUGGCCGCAGUUACUUGUGAGUUAAGUUGGUUACGAUAUUUGUUGAAAGAUUUGCAUGUUGAUCAUCCCCAACCAGCAAGGUUGUUUUGUGACAACCAAGCUGCCUUACACAUAGCCGCAAAUCCUGUAUACCACGAACGCACAAAACACAUUGAGAUUGAUUGCCACACUGUUCGUGAGAAGAUUCAAAAGGGAGAAAUCAAAACUUCACAUGUCAGGACAGGGGAACAAGUUGCAGACUUAUUUACUAAACCACUGCGUGCACCCAUCUUCCAUACACAUCUAAGCAAGUUGAGCGUUAUUGACAUCCACACUCCAACUUGAGGAGGAGUGUUAAAGGAAAGAUGAUUAUACGAUGUAAUUGAGAGUGAUCAUAGCUUCUAUAAUUGUCAAUCCUUUUAUUCUGUGUAAUUAUAGUAUGUAACCGUUAUUAGCUUAGCUGUAGGAUCUGCUGUUAAUAUCAGCUUGUUUAUAGGAAUUGCUUUCCUAUAAUAGCAUGUAGGUUCUGUAUAAAUCCUCACCUUGUAUACUGUUACAACACAUCAAUGAAAUAUACAUAUUCUCAAUUUAGGUACUGUGCUUUCCUACAUAUGCACAGGUUGAUGAUGAUACCAGUGGUGAAGAAACAUCUCUUUAGGUACUGUUUACAAUGAUUUAAAUUUAUCAUAUUUAGUUUUACAUUUUUAUCCAUUCUUCAAUUCCUCUUUUUUUUUCGCUUAAAUUCUUUUCCCCGAAAACAAAAUGCAAUUGUUAUUUGACAAAAACCUUGUGUUUUCAAGGGGCAGGUUCAAGUGGAACUCCAUCAGAUUUAACCAGAGCAAAAGAACAAGACAAGGCAUGUCGUGGGUGUCAUGAUAAAAUGCAGAGUUGACUAAUUCAUUCAGCAAUUUAAAUUUCUUUGAACUUAAAACAUCAUUAUUAAAUUCUAUGUUUGUCUAAUUUCUUCAGGCUUUCUUCAGAUCAGCUAGUCACUUACGAAGAUCAACUUAAGGCUCGGAGUGUCUGCUUUGUGUAAUUUCCUUGGCUAGUUGUGUGUGAUGAUUUGUCAUUAAUAAAUUGAUAAACAUUUGGUUGUUCUGAAUUAAUGGCUUGCCUCUUUAUCAUAUUUGAAAUAUUGUGUGUAAUCAUUUCAAUAAUUAUGCUUAACAUAUAAAUUCGUCCUUCUACACAAACUAAAAAGCUGAAGUUGGGAGGAGAAGGAGCAAGCUACUUGUUUCUAAUAAUACAACAGUCAUCACGAAUUUCCAUCUUACUGCAAUGUCUCAUUCAUGAGUUUCAAAGAUCUUAACGAAGAGACAUCCAUUUCCGCACCCUUCAAGAACAUCUACCCUUUCUUUAUAUCUGAAUAAUGCAUGGGAACAUGCUGUUGCUCUAAUUAAACUCUAAAUUAAAGGUCUGCAUGACUAGCUAUCAUGCCGAGUAGAUUUUCUAUUCCAAAAAGAAAAUCACAGAAACUUCCCUUAGAGGCAGAAGUUUGCUGCUGCUACCUGCAUAUUGCAGCAUCCUGAUAUAUAGGUGUAGAGCCUGAAAGCUGCACUAUAAAUGUAAUCUGGUUCAGUCAUCGAUCGAGAAUCAGACUCCUUCCCUAACAAAUUCAUCUCUCCAAUACACGCCUUCCUUCGCUCUUCUUGCACAAUCUCCACCGUCGGUAAAAACCUCCCCUCGCUCUUUCUCUAAGCUAAUUACCUAACCAUGUUUUAAUCAUUUUCACUUUUGCUGACAGCUUGCAUCAACCGUCGCGGAUUACAAAUUCUCUCUUCAUAACCCACUGGUAAACUCUGAUUCCUACUAACAGAAAUUACCGUAGUUUUGAAACCCGAUCCGGCCUAGCGGGUUAAUCUGAAGCUGAAAUUGGACCGGCUUUAAAAAAAAUAGGAAAAGUAAAAAUUCAGGGUGACCCGACAACCCGGUAAGACCCAGUCAAAAACCCGGUUGUAACCCGUUGACUUUUUUUUAAAUCAAAACAACAUCAUUUUAAUUUUUUUAAAAAAAUUAACCCGGACGACCUGGUGACCCGAUCAAAACCCGGAACCCAGGUAUUGGACCUGGCCGAGUUUAAAAACUAUGGAAAUUACUCAAGGUAAAUGAAGUUAAUUUUAUUAUUAUUAUUUUUAAUUUAUGUGUUAAUUUGUGAUUUAGUGAAUAAAUUAAAGUUUUGAUUUUGACUGAAUCUAAUUAAUUAAAUCGGCAAAGAGGGUAUUGAAAUUAUGUAGAAAAUGAAGGAUUUUAUGUGAAAGCUGGGCAAUUAUUUUUUAUUUGCUUGUGCACGUUUGUUUAUUUUCGAUUUCGAAGAAUUUAUGUCUGUUUCGUAGGCUAAUUUUUUGGGUUAGGUAUAAUGAAGGCAGUUCCUAGUAGUUUCAACGAUAUAAAAUAAGUUCUUGAAAGCAAUUUGGGUUGAUGUUUAACGGAGAUUUAUGUUUCGGUUCUGUAUUUUCUUUGUUUUUCUUUUCUGAGAUGUUGAAGGUGAAAAUUUGUUGUUGAAUUAUGGAUUUUUUUUUUUAUGUAAAUGACAGCUGCUGCGUCGAUUGCCCAAGGGCAUCUUGCGAUGUUGAAAGAUCGUCAAGCAGUAGCAGUCAAGGUUGGUUGGUGCGGUGUCAGUUUUAGUUAGUCAAUUUAUUAUUAUGGUCUGGGUUUUGUAAUAGCAACAAGAUGAUUUUUGUGAAUUAAAUUAGGAAGUUUAAGAGAGUUUUGAACUGUUGAUGAUGCAAUGCAUUUAGGCUAUCGAUCCUUUCAUAACUUGUUUCAAAUUUUGUGUAUUUACGUUUGUUGAAUCUUUGCUUACCUUCCAAUAUUAUAUAGCUGCAUGUGACUGAAUGCCGGGAUUCUUCCUCUCUGUCUUUCCUUCAUCUGUUUUUAUUUCCCUUCCGAAAAGUAAACUUUUUGCCAUACAGUUUUAUAUUAGAUAUGUUGGAUCUUGCUUCCAAAUCCUAAUCUGCAUAGAAGAAGCUCGAUAUUUCAGUGAUUUGAUUCUUCCAAUAAAGUCGAUGAUUGCAUUAGGAGAAUCUCUAUGAUGUUCUCUGAUGAAUGUGAAACAUCCCCUUCCCAUACCUUCUUUAUAUAUGUUCGAAAAUUUUCUUGUUUUCAGAACUUCAUGGAUGCUUGUGAUAGAUGUACUUGAAAGUAACAUGCUUAUUUUUUUCUGCAUGUAGGUGCAGCACUACCCUGGGUUAGAAAUCCAGAUGAAGAUCGACAUAGCCAUUAUGUCACUUAUCCCAAAAUCUGUUGCAUGAGUAAGUGAUAACAUUAUCUUAACAAUUUUAAUUAUUUCUCUAUUGCAUUCUGUUGGCACCAUCUUUUUGUGAAGUUAGUUUGUGGAUGGUAAAUCACAUGAUUAUGCACAGAAAGAAGAACUAAUGCUGAUAAAAUUGCAGUAUAUGUUCUAGCCCUCUGACGUAAAAACCCUACAAAGGGAUGUUCUUUUUAGGAUAUGAUAACAUUCAACAGGUUUUGAAGAAUACAUGCGUCUUCUUUUUCUCAUUGGACAACAAUUUAUUCUCCUGAUUGUUUUUGUGCAUAUCUCAUGUGUUCCCUUUCUAAUUAAAUUGCCUUCUUUUGAUUUUGAUGAGUGAUCCACUGGCUUAGAGUUACGUUUUGCUCUUUUUGUCUUUCCACAACUUUUCCCUGAUUACAGAUUUAACUGGCUGAUAACAGAAUUCAGAGAGACUAUUUCUUCAGAACUUGGUCUGUGUAUUCCUUUGGUUAUUUUAUGUGUUCUUGAUCUCCUUGAUAGAUACAUGAAGAACUCGUGUAACUUCUUCAUUGCAUGCAUUCUCCAUAUUUCAAUUACUAUUAUUUCUUCAAGUGAUCAGAUACAUUGGAGAAAUUGCCAGCAACAAAGUGCAGAAGCGCAUGCAUUGUGAUGGGGGUGGCCAUUGAAGUCUUCUAAAUGAUGUAGAAUGGUACAGGGACUGGUGGUCUGGAGUCGUGUCAUUUUCUUGAUUCUCCGGUGCCUGUUUGAGAAGUUGCUACAGUAUAACACCAUCUAAGCAAUUCCAUAAUUAACCAGGGAACUGAGGUUUUAUGAUUCCUGGGUGUAUAAAAUUCUUACCUGACUGGGUUCUAACGAUAACUCUUAAUUCUCUCAUCACCACGCACCUGUUACUUGAAUUCCAUGCGCGACAGCACAUCCUCACAAAUAAUCGUUUUCUUUUUGCUCAUUUGCGUCCUUACUAAUUGUGCUUUUUAACAUUCCACAGCCCAUAAUCCCAUUUCAAGAUACCCGUAAAAAGACCAGAAGUGAAACUUGCUAUUAAGGAAAUAUUUUAGGACUAGUUCGGCCAUGGCCGAAAAACUACUAGCCCAUAGCCUAUUAAAACUCUUAAAAGUCCAUGAAUCCAAUAUCCCAGCAAAACCUUGAAGAACUCUCACCGUUACCUUUUUUAUACGGUUAUGUUACGUAGUAAAAAUAAUCAAAUAAAUUAAGAAUGUACUUAAUUUGUUAAACAACAUUUUCCCUUUUCAGCAGCUUGAAAUUUGGGUGGAAUUAUGGUUCCUUGAGAAGAGUAGUAAAAUUAAUGCUAUAAAUGAUUCAGAAAUGGAAGGACCAUAUAGAACCGUGUUCAUAAGAACUGGACUGUCAUAGUAGCAAGCGAGCUAAGACCGGUCCUCAAUUCCUAUAUAUAUAGAACUUCAAAGCAGUAUCUGCCUUAUUUGGCCCAUUGCACAGAAACAAAUAAGGAUUAAAUCGCAGCUGUAAUGCACUCUUAAAAGAAAUUGAUUUGUAGGCAAUAAGUAACUCACUACAAUACGAAAAAAACAACUGUUUGGUCUUCGCAAAAGUUAGGAAGUGCACCCAUAUUCUGCGAACCCAUCCGCAAACUAUUUUGAGUAAAAAAAAAUAAAAAGAUGAUUUUUUAAAGUGCACUGGCAAAGUGUAUUUAGGAAUUAUGUGAUUGUUUUUUAAAGUGUUUUUUAUUUAAAAAUAUUUUAAAAAAAUUUAUUUUUAACAUCAAUGCAUUAAAAUAAUCUAAAAAUUUCAAAACAAAAGUAUUAAUUCAAACACAUAUCAGAAAAUAAGGCAGUUUUUUUUUUCUGAUGUAGGGUAUUUUUAAAAAAACAAUUGAAAAUAUAUUUAAAUAAUAUUUUUAAAUAUUGUUUUUCUUUAUAUUUUCCCAUUAAAAUAUUUAUAAAAUACUAAAAAUAUUAUUUUGAUUUUUUUUUCAAAAAAUACUCAAAAUUUUGGAAAAACUAGUUGCAUUACUCUUAUCAACCAGGCUUUUUAUAAUUAUUUUCUUUCUCCAAAUUUUAUAUUCAAAACGAGUUAACUCGGUUGAUUCAGGUUUUUUUAAAUAUGUUAAAAUAAUAUUUUUAAAUACCCUUUUUUGUUAUAUUUACCAUUACAAUAUUUAUAAAAUAUUAAAUAUAUUGUUUUGAAUUGUUUUUUAAAAAAUAUUCAAAAUUUUGGAAAAACACUGCUCAAUUAUACUCAUUUCAAAAAAAUGAUGUUUUUUUAACUGAGUUGAUUCAGGUUUUUUUACUUAUUUUCUAUGAAAUUAUCUUAAUCUCCUAACUCAAGUAGCAAGUUUAAGAAGUUAAUUUAGGUUUAAUAUUCAUAAAUCCUAUUUUAUUGACAAAAGGCGUGAAGUUUUCUUUAAAUUAAUUAAUUAAAGAAAACAUAUUUUCAUAGAAGCAUGCACCCAGCAUGUGGUGGUGUCCACAUAGGGAAUAACAAUGGUCAAAUCCAACGGUAAAUACUCCAUCACCUAAAUAAAAAAAAAGUCUCUCUCCCCAGACAACUAGCAUCCCAAUCCCCACGUAGCCAAUUCAUAAUUCACAGCGACAAAUGCGUUUCAAAUGAUGUUUUAUUAAAAUUUAUUUUUUUUAUUUAAAAUUAUUUUUUUAUAUUAUAGAUGGAUCAAAUGGAUAUACAGAUAUACAGAUAUCUGUACAUUUAUAAAAGCAUAAGAGCAUGUUUGGUAUUAUAUAUAAAAAAAACUUUUUAUAUAAAAAUAAUAUUUUUUUAUUUUUUAAAAUUUAUUUUUGAUUAACAUAUUAAAAUGAUCUAAACUCUCCCCAAGUUUCCAAACAACUUCCAUCAAGUGCGGUCAAUAGUCUUUGCAGAUAGUAUAGUGGGGCCUACAUGCAAAACAGACUUUGAGAAAUGUUUGUUAGAAUUUAAGCAUUUGCGGUCUUUGAAAUUAAUGGACGAUUCUGGAUUUGAGGCUUUUCCGGAGAGGAUUGGCGCCUUGAAACAUUUGAGAUAUCUCCAUUUUUUGAACAACGCAAAAAUAAAAAGACUCCCAAAAUCUAUUUUCAAAUUGCAAAACUUGCAAGCUCUGGUUACAGGUGAAGGAUUAGAAGAGCUGCCCAAAGAUGUGAGGUACAUGAUCAGCCUUAGAUUUUUAUAUCUAGUUACUAAGCAGAAGCAGUUGCCAGAAGAAGGGAUUGGGUGUUUGGAGUGUCUUCAAACUUUAUUCAUUGCUGAUUGUGAAAAUCUAGAAAAUUUGUGCGAAGAUAUGCAAGGUCUUACAAGUCUUCGAAAAUUGGUUAUUGCUGGGUGUCCUCGCUUGAUUUCUCUGCCGAGUAGCAGAGAAAAAAAUUCAACCUCUUUCUCUUUCUCUUUGUAUUGUAAUAUUUGAAGAGUUACCAACAACUCUUGCUUUACCGGAACAGCUUCUUCAAGGAUCUGCAGAAUCCUUACAAACAUUAAUCAUCAGAGAUUGUUCAAACAUUAGAGAAAUGCCAGAUUGCAUCGGCAAUUUAAAGAAACUUCAAAAUCUUGAGAUCAGUGAUUGUCCAAGUUUGAGCAAAAAGUGUCGAAGGGGAACAGGAGAAGAUUGGCCCAAGAUCAAACAUAUCCCUAAAAUCGAGGUUGACGGUGAUGACAAUGAUGAAGAGACAUCUCAUGCAGGUAGCAGCAGCAAACCAUAUUUAAAUUUAUCAUAUUUAGUUUUACAUUUUUAUCCAUUCUUCAAUUUCUUUUUUCGUUUAAAUUAUUUUCCCUGAAAACAAUAUUAGCUUUGAAAAAAAAAAACUGACAAAAGCUCUUGUGUUUUGGAGAGGCAGGUUCAAGUGGAACUCCAUAAGCAAGAGAAGAAGACAAGGUAUGUCAUGAUAAAAUGCAAAGUUGACUAAUUCAUUCAGCAAUUUAAAUUUCUUUGAACUUAAUACAUCAUUAUUAAAUUCUAUGUUUGUCUAAUUUCUUCAGGUUUACUAAUGUGAGGGUCCUGUCGGCCAAGAUCUUCUACGACAGUUGGUCUCUUGCAAAGAUCAGCUGAAGGCUCGGAGUGUCUGCUUUGUGUAAUUUCCUUGGCUAGCUGUCUGUGAUAAUUUGUCAUUAAUAAAUUGAUAAACAUUUGGUUGUUCUGAAUUAUUUAAAUAAUUAUGCUAAUUGUUUCUGAUAAUACAACAGUCAUCAAGAAUCUCAAACUUACUGCAAUGUCUCAUUCAUGAGCUUCAAAGAUCUUAACGAAGAGACCUCCAAUAACAUAUUAAAAGUUUAUAAAUUUUUACACUCUGUAUUUCAUUAAAUUUUGAAAUUUCUUUGCUUAAAAUUAUUUAUUUUUUUAUUUUUUUAAUAUGUAACUUUUAAAAAUAAUUUUUAAAAAAUAAAAAAAAUAUUUUAAUAUAUUUUUAAAUAAAAAGACCUAACACCAUCUAAAACCACCCCUUGAUCCUAACUAAUUUUUGAAAAACAAACCUUCUAGCUUCCUUUAACCAGUAAAACCGAACUUUUAACUCUGGACUGGAUUGUGUAUUCAUUGAUAGUGUAUAUGGAUUUCUUUUAUAUAUAUAAAUCAAGUAUUCAACAUAUUCAUCCAAAUAUAAUAAUAAAAUCAACGAAUGUACACUUUUUGAAGACAUUUUCCCUACUUCGACAGGCUCAAUGAGAUUAUCGUUUCUAACUCUGGAGUGGAUUGUGUAUUCACUGAUAGUGUAUAUAGAUUUUUUUUAUAUAUAUAAAUCAAGUAUUCAACAUGAAUGUGCACUUUUUGAAGACAUAUUCCCUUAUAAAAGAUACAAGAAAUUCAUUCACAUACAAAAUCAAAGAAAAAUAGCUUAGGUGGUCUCAUCAAACUAUUGAUGAAAGAUCUAUACUCACCAUCUAAAAAUUCAUUCACUACUACUAGGUUAUAAAUAGAUCUUCAAGAGAAAAGUAAAAGCUAAUAGAACCAUCCAAAAAUACAAAGUAAGAUUUAUUGUAAAGGUUUCAAACAACAAAAAGAAAAAAAAAUUAUUUUGCUACAUAUUUAUCUAUGUUAAUAAUAAAUUUUAUAUGUACAUUAAUAGUUAUUACAAUUAUUAACAAGUUAGAAAUACAUCAAAUUUAUAAAAAAAAUAAUUUUUUUAAAUAACGAUUUUGACGGAGAGGUAUUUAUAAAACAAACUAAGAGGUUUGUUGUUAAAAAAAAAAGAUUUUAAACUUAUUAAGUUAUCUAGUUUGAAACAAAUUUUUAAAUAAUAGCAUGAAAAGUUUCACAAUGUUAUAUUUAAAAAAAUAUAUAUUUUAAGAAUUUUAAAAAAUAUUUUUUAAAAAUUUCAAGAAAACAAGAAAAAAAAUUACAAUAAAUGGAGGUCGAAAUUCAUUAAAUAAUUAAAAAUUCAAAAGCUAAAGAUGAAAUCGAAAAAAUAUAUCAAUAUUCAAGGACUAUAUAUAAUGCAAUCAGGGAUGAAAUUGAGAAAAAAUAAAGAAAGAAUGGUUGAAAUUUGCCAAAAAUGAAACAAUUAAACUUGGGGGACCUUUAAAAAAAUGAAAUUUUCCUUCGCAUCAAAAUAUUGUCAUUUUAAAUAAAAAAAAAAUUAAAUGCAACGGAGUCAUUCUGAUGCUUCACUUCACUACUAUUUGAUCGCUUUCCCUUGAUCCAAAUCUUUUAAGCAAAUCAUGGCUGGGAAGGCACCGAAAUCCUUUGACAGUGUGUCGUUAACGGUACUGCUACGCCGAGUAUUGUGUGUGAUCUCCUAGAUUUUUUGGUGACAGGAGGUCGUCUAAAUCUGGGUAAUGUAAGCGACAAGUCGCUUGUUAUUUUUUUUUCAAAGCAUUAAAAGUCACUCGCCCUUUAAGAAGUUCUUUUUCUAAACAAGGACAGACAGAAGCGGUAGCCAGAAGGUGGGAUUGGGUGCUUGAAAUUUCUUCGAACUUUACUGAUCUAUGAGUGUGAAAAUCUACAAAAGAUGCUUUCUUUGUUGUUCCAUUUUUUCAAAAGAUUACUACUUUUAUGAUGUCGUUUGAAUUGCGUAUGUGUUGAUGUAAAAUAAAUUUUAAAAAACAAAAAUAUUAUUUUAAUAUAUUUUUAAAUAAAAAAACUUUUUUAAAAAAUAAUUUUAGAUGUCACAUGUACUCAUUCAAUCAAAGUCCAAAUGACAGCUUGCGUUAGGCGCGCGCGUUGAUCUCAAAAUAUUUCUUUUUAAAUGCAUUGAAUAAUAAUCUCUCAAAACCCCCAAUUUUCCAAACUAUUAAAAUAUUUGUCUGUCCUUGAUUUCAAUAUUUUAUUUUUUCAUUAAACUCUUACAAAUGUUUUAUAUUAUUUUAUAUUUAAUUUUUAUUAAAUAAAUAAAAAUAAUCAUAUUAAAUUUUAUAAUCAAUUGGUCAACAAGACUCUAAUAACAUAUUAAAAAAUUAUCUUAAUCUAAUAAUUUAAACUAUUAAAUAAAAUAAAUAUAAUUUAUAUUAUUCUCUGCUAAUAAUUAACUCACUAUGUCACGGAAAAAAACAAUUGUUUGCUCUAUUAGGUCUUUGCAAAAGGUAUAGGGUUACCCAUAUUCUACGAAGUACGAACCCAUCCACAAACCAUUUUGAGUGAAAAAAUAAAAAAAUGCAGGUCCAAGCCGAAGUAGUGCACCGGCUAAGCUCCUUUAAUGAAAUGGCUGCAUUUAGUGCACUGGUAAAAGCACAUCAAUUCCACCGAAAAGAAAUUUUAAAAUUAAAAUAAAUUUCAAUGGUCAAAGAUAAGGCCUAAGGCUCCAUGCCAAAGACAAUAAUUCAAACACAUAUCAGAAAAUAAGGCAGUCUUUUUUUAAAUAUAUUAAAAUAAUAUUUUUAAAUACUGUUUCUUCUUUAUAUUUGCCAUUAAAAUAUUUAUAAAAUACUAAAAAUAUUGUUUUUAAUUUUUUUUCAAAAAAUAUUCAAAAUUUUGAAAAAUCAUGGUUCAAUUGCACUCCUCGACAGGGCUUAAAAAAUUUAUGCUUCUACUAUACAGUCUCAUAAUUUGUUUAUUACUUUUUUUUUUUAAAGUUAAUUCAAGUUUUUUUUAAUUGAUAUUUAUUCUUGAAAAGGACAUUAAAAUGAUCUAUAUAAAAACAUAAAAAUAGUUUAAGUAAUGAAAAAAAUUAAAAAAUUCAAAUUUUUUUAAUAAUACUUUUAAAAUAUAAAAACAAAUAAUCUCUAGAGUUGAUAUCCUCGUGUGGUUGGCCCAAAUAUAUGAUAGUGGUAGAGAUUUUCAGAUAGAAUUUGGAGCUGUAUAUGGUAAAAGCACAUCAAUUCCACCAAAAAAAACUUUUAAAAUUAAAAUAAAUUUCAAUGGUCAAAGAUAAGGGUACAUGCCAAAGACAAUAAUUCAAACACAUAUAGGAAAAUAAGGUAGUUUUUUAAAAAUAUAUAUUAAAAUAAUAUUUUUAAAUACUGUUUUUUCUUUAUAUUUGCCAUUAAAAUAUUUAUAAAAUAGUAAAAAUAUUGUUUUGAAUUUGAUGAUCUGUAGGUAUUUCACUCUUGCCUUUUGUCGUCUUGUCCGUCUUUGACUCAGAAAGCACUUCUAUUACAGCAUUCUACAGAUGAAAGAUACAAUUGAAAACUAGAAUCUGGACUCCACACUCUUCAGGUUAGCAAAUUACAGACCUAAUUUUUAAAUAUUUUAAUCUAAAAGAUAAAAUUAACAAAAAUAAAAUUUAAAAAAUCAUAAUAAAAAUUCCAAAAAAAACAAUGGUCUGCUCUGUAUUUUUUAAUUUUUGUUACUUCAAAAAGUUUAAUAACAUAAUUUUUCACCAAAACUAUUCUUUUUAAUAAUAUGAAAAAAAAAAUUAUAAAAAGUCAAGUGCAAUUAAAAAAACCCAUCAAAUCAAUAAACUUGAAUAAUUUGGGUUAUUUCGACUAACCCAUAAAUCAUGUUAACAUGGUAGAAAGAUAAAAUUAAAAAAAAAUUAUAAAGUUAAACUCUCAACCAUUUUAAUAUUAUAAAAUAAAAUGAACUAAAAUAAUUUAAAAAAAUUAUAAAAAUAAAAAUAUAUAUAAAAACUAUAUAUAUAAAAAAAAAUAUUAUAGCAAUCCGUGAUUUUGUAAUAAAAUUACUGUGAUUUUUCUAAUUCAUCUGUACAUAUUUAAUCCAGAUAUGAUUAAAAUAGAAACUAACUCGAUUUUUUGGCGACAGCAGGUCGCCUGAGUAAAUCUGGGCAGUGCAUAUUUUUUUCAAAGCAUUAAGGGUCGUCCGCCACUUAAGAAUAUGGUCAAAUAUGGGUGACUGUGUACAUUUACUUGUAUAAAAGCAAAGGGACCCACGCAGGUCCCUGUGUUUCAUCAUGUAGGCUGAACCUGUCAACACUUUAGAUGGAGGAUGCCUGCUGAUUAGUCAAUGAAGUCAAUUUGGACGCGUGGAUACUUUACGGUGGGGUCUUGUUUUGUGAAACUUUCGGCUUGAGAAAUACUGGGAAUGUGGAUUUUGCAUUUUAGUGAUUCCUCGGUGUGAAAUGUGGAAACUGUGGGUGGGGCGGCCAUGAUAUUAACAUAUAUCCCUGUUUUCCAAGCCACAAUUUCAAUUGAUAUCAAAUAUAAUGUAUCAAAUAAGUUAAUAAUGUAUUUAAUUUAUUAUAUAUUAUUUUCCCUCCUCAACUUCACAAUUGGGUACAUAAAUUAAGAUUAAGUAGAUAACACGUAAGUAGGGUGGGAUUAUAGCUUCUUGGUCAACUACUCAAAAACAAUUAAGGAUUAAAUCGAUCGCUAAUAUUAUGAAGAAAAGAAAAGAAAGAGAACAACCCAUUAAACAAGCAAUCCAUGGAGGAUGGAGCCAUUGUACAUUUUAAUUAAGAAGACUCAACGACUUCUCCUCUCCACUCAGAAAAGAAAGCGGAACUCCACUCUUAUCUCAAUCAUUUUUUUCCCUAUCAAACACUUCCUCCCCUCACUCAAAAAGAAAAUGGCCGAAGCUUUUGCAGCCGAUAUUGCAAAAUCCCUUCUAGGGAAGUUAGGCUCUUUCGCUGUUCAAGAAUUUCGUUUGGCAUGGGGACUUGAAGAUGACCUUGCACGUCUUGAAGAGAUAUUGAAAGCCAUCAACGCGGUGCUGUCCGAUGCUGAGCAGAAACAAUCAAAGAAUAACGGGAUUCGGCUCUGGCUCCAUAUGCUCAGAGAAGUCUUGUAUGAUGCAGAGGACGUGCUGGACGAAAUCGAGUGCGAAACUUUGCAAAGGAAGGUGGUGAAAACUAAAGGGAGCACCAGCAGAAAGGUACUCCACUUCUUUACAAGAUCUCCAUUCCGUUUAAUAAUAGGUCAUAAGAUAAAGAAGAUCAUAGAAAGACUAGGUGAGAUUUCAGCUCUUAAGUCUGACUUCAACCUCAGCGAGCAGGCUAUUGAUUGUAGUCAUGUCUUGCAUGAGGAAACAGAGAUGAACCGAUCCUUUGAGAGCUUUUCCGGUCUUAUUGGAAGAGAUAAAGACAAAGAACGCAUCAUCAACCUUUUAGCAGCACCUUCUAAGGUUGGUGAUGCACAUCCCGUUGUCCUUCCGAUAGUAGGAAUGGGAGGCUUGGGGAAGACAUCUCUUGCCAAAUCGGUGUGUGAUGCUGAAAAUGUAAAAAGUCAUUUUGAACUGAAGAUGGAGGUCUGUGUUUCAGAUGAUUUUUCCUUGAAACAAGUGAUACAAAAGAUUAUUAAAUCUGCAACUGGGGAAAGAUGUGCGGAUUUGGAUGAGGGUGAACUUAAUAAAAAACUUGAAGAAAUUGUGAAUGGUAGGAAAUACUUGCUUCUUUUGGAUGAUGUUUGGAAUGAAGAUGCUCAAAAAUGGUUGUUGUUGAAGCCUUUGUUAUCAAAAGGUGCUGAUGGAAGUAAGAUUAUAGUAACUACCCGUAGUCAACGUGUUGCUGAGAUUAUGGGUACUGUUCCUGCGGACAACCUAAGUCUUCUUGGUCAAGAGGACUGUCUGUCGUUGUUUUACAAGUGUGCAUUCAAGGAAGGGCAAAAGGAGUUGUAUCCAAAUUUGGUUGGAAUUGGGAAAGAAAUAGUGGAAAAAUGCAAGCAAGUUCCUCUGGCAGUGAUUAACUUGGGGACUCAACUGUAUGGUAAGACUGAUGAAAAAGAGUGGCAAUCGGUGAGAGACAGUGAGAAGUGGGAAGAAGAGGGAGAUGGCAUUUUAC